CCAAUAGCGUAUAUUAAAGUUGUUGCAGUUAAAAAGCUCGUAGUUGAAUUUCGGGAUUAGUACGUUGGUCGUGCCUUUGGUACGUACUGGUGUUACUGGUUCCUACCUUCUGAAGAACCGUCAUGUCAUUAAUUUGGUGUGGCGGGGAAUCAGGACUGUUACUUUGAAAAAAUUAGAGUGUUUAAAGCAGGCUCGCGCUUGAAUACAUUAGCAUGGAAUAAUGAAAUAGGACGUUUGAUCCUAUUUUGUUGGUUUCUAGGAUUGACGUAAUGAUUAAUAGGGAUAGUUGGGGGCAUUAGUAUUCAAUUGUCAGAGGUGAAAUUCUUGGAUUUAUUGAAGACUAACUACUGCGAAAGCAUUUGCCAAGGAUGUUUUCAUUAAUCAAGAACGAAAGUUAGGGGAUCGAAGACGAUCAGAUACCGUCGUAGUCUUAACCAUAAGCUAUGCCGACUAGGGAUCGGAUGAUGUUAUUUUUAAUGACUCAUUCGGCGCCUUACG
rnacentral:rRNA from 1 species